UGUUUUUGAUUGUUCUGGUUGGAUUGCUCGAAGGGCGGGUUUUUGCGCUUGUGAUUGCGUUAUCUUGGUGCUUGUUGUUGAAGUUACAAUGGAGAAAUGUUCGCUUAAAUCGGUGAAGUUAGAGUGCUUGGAGAUGAAGCGGAACACCAGAGGAUGAUAAUCAAGGUACAUCACGUUGAUCGGGAGUUGUUUCGAUUUGAAAAAUAACUUGGAAGUGCAAGAAACGUGAAAGAAUAAAGUCCAGGGACUGUUUUGGUCAUUUAAUGAAAGUCAAUGUUAUGAAGGAGAUGGAAUGUGCAAUGCUCGACGUAGGUUACGGCUGAUAAAACGUAACUUACGGCCAGCCCAUGCAAGCUAAAAAGAUCCUGGAACAAUAUUCCGUAACCUACGGUUUGGAUCGGUAGGCUACAGUAGGAGUUAUAAGGUUUUAACAGAAAAGAUGUCCCGUAACCUACGGACAGCGGACCGUAGGCUACGGCGGGGUUGGCUGGGACGCGCAUUGUUGACUUUUCAAAGAUUAAAAGAGUUUUUUCCAAACCCUAAUUUAUUAUGUAUCUCUUGCAUGAUUUGGAAGGCACAUAUAGCACACUUUUGGGCAAUCUUCACUUAUCAUCAUCAUAAUUCUUUUCAUAUCAACCAUAUCGAAGAUGCAAUCAUCCGUUCAAGCUUUUGAAGAUCAAAUCACCGAGAUGAGCCUCUAAUUUUCUAGUGGUUUCCUCUGGGUGGAGGAUUCUUGUAAGUAGACAAUUUUAUGUGUUUUU
rnacentral:lncRNA from 1 species